rnacentral:rRNA from 1 species
AUUGAACGCUGGCGGCAUGCCUUACACAUGCAAGUCGAACGGUAACAGGUCUUCGGAUGCUGACGAGUGGCGAACGGGUGAGUAAUACAUCGGAACGUGCCCGAGAGUGGGGGAUAACGAGGCGAAAGCUUUGCUAAUACCGCAUACGAUCUCAGGAUGAAAGCAGGGGACCGCAAGGCCUUGCGCUCACGGAGCGGCCGAUGGCAGAUUAGGUAGGUGGUGGGAUAAAAGCUUACCAAGACGACGACCUGUAGCUGGACCGAGAGGACGCCCAGCGACGCUGGGACUGAGACACGGCCCAGACUCCUACGGGAGGCAGCAGUGGGGAAUUUUGGACAAUGGGCGCAAGCCUGAUCCAGCCAUGCCGCGUGCAGGAUGAAGGCCUUCGGGUUGUAAACUGCUUUUGUACGGAACGAAAAGACUCUGGUUAAUACCUGGGGUCCAUGACGGUACCGUAAGAAUAAGCACCGGCUAACUACGUGCCAGCAGCCGCCGUAAGAC